GAAAGAUUGAAAAAUGGAGUUUCCAGUCGUGUCCGUGCAUUUAUGCAUGAACUGUUCUACCAAAGCUUCCGAAAUUAUAAUAUGCUGUUACUGAUGACAAAAUGGAGGUCAAGUUCAAUAAUGACGAUUUUGACUUUUACCGUUCAGGAGUUGUGGUUCUUGAAAGAUUGAAAAAUGGUUUUUCCCGUCGUGUCCGUGCAUU
rnacentral:lncRNA from 1 species